rnacentral:misc_RNA from 1 species
GCCCAUUCAAAAGGAGGGUGAGGAGGCGGAUUAUAGAGGUGUUUUGCACCGUGACGGCUCUGUUCUCAUGUCAGUUUCCUUGGAUCAAUUAAAGAUGCCAGAACUUCUUUACAAGUCCCUUGCAGCAAAGCUUGUUGUUGGCAUGCCAUUUAAGGAUCUAGCAACGGUGGAUUCAAUCUUACUACGAGAACUUCCUUCAGUAGAUGAUGCUGAUGCUCGUCUAGCCCUCAAAAGGCUGAUAGACAUAAGUAUGGGCAUUAUAACACCUUUAUCAGAGCAACUUACAAAGCCCUUGCCUAAUGCCAUGGUUCUGGUCAAUCUCAAGGAGUUGUCCUCUGG